UACCAGCUCUCCGAGUGGUAGGGAUGAUUAUUGGGCUUAAAGCGUCCGUAGCCGGCUUAGCAGGUUUCCUGUUAAACCCAGCGACUCAAUCGUUGGAUCGCGGGAAAUGCUACUAGGCUAGGAGGCGGGAGAGGUCAACGGUACUUCUGGGGUAGGGGUGAAAUCCUAUAAUCCCGGGAGGACCACCAGUGGCGAAGGCUGUUGACUAGAACGCGCUCGACGGUGAGGGACGAAAGCUGGGGUAGCAAACCGGGAUUAGAUACCCGGGUAGUCCCAGCUGUAAACGAUGCGAGCUAGGUGUUGGGAUGGCUACGGGCCAUUUCAGUGCCGCAGGGAAGCCAUUAAGCUCGCCGCCUGGGGAGUACGGCCGCAAGGCUGAAACUUAAGGAAUUGGCGGGGGAGCACCACAAGGCGUGAAGCUUGCGGUUC
rnacentral:rRNA from 1 species